GACAGGCAGUGCAGACGUUAUUCAGCUUUAUUGGGCGUAAAGGGUAUGUAGGUGGAUCUUAAAAAACGGAGGACGACAACCUAGAGCAUACUUUUAGAUGGGAUCCUCUCAGAUUACAGAUCUUGAGUUAGUUAGGCGUUUUGGAGUAGCUCAGGCGUAAAAGUCAAAUUUUUCCGAGUCCUGACCGAAGACCAAAUGGGCAAAGGCACCGGGCGAUGGCUAACUGA
rnacentral:rRNA from 1 species